AAGUGACUAAAAAUUAAGUACAACCCAUCCUUCAGCAAUAGGUUUGAACUGUGCAGGGCCACUUAUACGUGGAUAUUUUUUAAUACGUAUAUUGAAACUUUUUUUGAGAUUUGUGACAAUUUGAAAAAACUUGCAGACGAAUCACAGCCUAGAAAUAGUGAAAAAAUUAAAAAGUUAAGUGUCAUUAAUGCAUGAUAUGUAUGUAUCAUUUACUACCAUAAAAUACACAUAAAUCUAUUAUAAAAAGUUAAAAUUUCAAAACUUACAUACACAGACAUUUAGACAACCAUACAUGGUGCCAUUUGCAGUUGAAAGAAGUGCAAACAAAUGUAAAGAUACAGUAUUAAAUCAUAACUGCAUAAAAUUAACUGUAUUAUACUACUGUAAUAAUUUUGCAGCCACCUCCUGUUGCUAUUGUGGUGAGGUUAAGUGUUGUGAGCAUAUGCUCAGAAAUGCCAUGUGACUCUAAUCAUCUCCACUUGAGCAGUUUCU
rnacentral:lncRNA from 10 species